GACGAACGCUGGCGGCGUGCUUAACACAUGCAAGUCGAACGGAAAGGCCCUGCUUUUGUGGGGUGCUCGAGUGGCGAACGGGUGAGUAACACGUGAGUAACCUGCCCUUGACUUUGGGAUAACUUCUGGAAACUGGGGCUAAUACCGGAUAGGAGCUCCUGCUGCAUGGUGUGGGUGUGAAAGUUUCGGCGGUUGGGGAUGGACUCGCGGUUUAUCAGCUUGUUGGUGGGGUAGUGGCUUACCAAGGCUUUGACGGGUAGCCGGCCUGAGAGGGUGACCGGCGACCAUGGGACUGAGAGACGCCCCAGACGCCAACGGGAGGCAGCGGUGGAGAAUAUUACAGAGUGGGAGGAAGCCAGUUGCGACAACGCCGCGUGCGGGAUGACGGGCUUGGGGUUGUGAACCGCUGUCGCCUGUGACGAAGCGUGAAGGGCGGUAAUGGGUAAAGAAGCACCGGCUAACUACGUG
rnacentral:rRNA from 1 species